rnacentral:tRNA from 1 species
GUUUUAAUAGUUUAAAUAAAGCGCUAUUUUGUGGAAAUAGAAAUAUACAAGUAUUUAAGACA